rnacentral:rRNA from 1 species
GAUGAACGCUGGCGGCGUGCCUAAUACAUGCAAGUCGAGCGAACGGACGAGAAGCUUGCUUCUCUGAUGUUAGCGGCGGACGGGUGAGUAACACGUGGAUAACCUACCUAUAAGACUGGGUUAACUUCGGGAAACCGGAGCUAAUACCGGAUAAUAUUUUGAACCGCAUGGUUCAAAAGUGAAAGACGGUCUUGCUGUCACUUAUAGACGGAUCCGCGCUGCAUUAGCUAGUUGGUAAGGUAACGGCUUACCAAGGCAACGAUGCAUAGCCGACCUGAGAGGGUGAUCGGCCACACUGGAACUGAGACACGGUCCAGACUCCUACGGGAGGCAGCAGUAGGGAAUCUUCCGCAAUGGGCGAAAGCCUGACGGAGCAACGCCGCGUGAGUGAUGAAGGUCUUCGGAUCGUAAAACUCUGUUAUUAGGGAAGAACAUAUGUGUAAGUAACUGUGCACAUCUUGACGGUACCUAAUCAGAAAGCCACGGCUAACUACGUG